UACGAAGGUCCCGAGCGUUGUUCGGAAUCACUGGGCGUAAAGGGCGCGUAGGCGGCGUGGUAAGUCAGAUGUGAAAUCCCGGGGCUCAACCCCGGAACUGCAUCCGAUACUGCCGUGCUAGAGGAUUGGAGAGGUAGCUGGAAUUCUUGGUGUAGCAGUGAAAUGCGUAGAGAUCAAGAGGAACACUCGUGGCGAAAGCGAGCUACUGGACAAUAUCUGACGCUGAGGCUCGAAGGCCAGGGUAGCGAAAGGG
rnacentral:rRNA from 1 species